UACGGGGGGAGCAAGCGUUGUUCGGAAUUACUGGGCGUAAAGGGCGCGUAGGCGGCCGACUAAGUCAGACGUGAAAUCCCCGGGCUCAACCCGGGAACUGCGUCUGAUACUGGACGGCUUGAAUCCGGGAGAGGGAUGUGGAAUUCCAGGUGUAGCGGUGAAAUGCGUAGAUAUCUGGAGGAACACCGGUGGCGAAGGCGGCAUCCUGGACCGGCAUUGACGCUGAGGCGCGAAAGCUAGGGGAGCAAACGGG
rnacentral:rRNA from 1 species